UUGGGCAUGAAUGCAAUCACAUAUUUUGUCAACAAUGUUACUGCUCAUUAUUUUACUUUCCAACACCUGGAAUAGUAAAUAAAGGCCCCAUAAAAGAGAUUGAUCUUAAACCGAACCUUACAAAACAGACCAGACUUUCAGAGGGACAACUUUGGGGACAGAGAUGUGAGAAGCUUCCAUGGAAUGAAUGUGAGGAUCUAUCAGUGGCUGAGCAUGACUAUUCCAAUGAUGCCUUCUAGAACUGCAGACAAAAAAAAAAUCACAAAGUGGAUUGGGGAAAUCCGCUGGACCUGCUUUUUGAAAUGGACCCGAGUCAAAACUCCAAUGGUCACUGGAUCUCUGCCAUGUUGGACUUGAGUCUACAUGUAGGCCUCUAAGCAAGAAGAGAAAAGGAAGCUGAAGCCCAUGAGGAAGAGGACCAGGAAGGGAAGAUGAAUACAAAGCAGAGGAGAACAAGGAUAAGCUGGAACCCACAAGUAACAGAAUCUAAGUUAUUUAUUGCUGCAUAAAAAUACCCACAACCUAAUGGCUUAAAACUAAGAGGACAUUAACUGUGUAUUAUCUCUCACAUAUUUUGUGUGUCAGAAAUUCAGGAGCAGCUCAGCUGGUCUUAUAAAGUUUCAGUCAGGUGUGAACUCCAGUGUCUGUCAUCUACAGGCCUGACAGGGCUGGAGUAACCAUUUCCAAGACAGCUCACUCAUAUGACUCAAUUACUGGCCGGUGAUUAGAAAGAGAACCAAUUUUCUCACCACACAAUCUUCUUCAUAGGGCUACUUGAGCGUCCUUACAAUAUUUCACCUAGCUUUACCCAGGGUGAAGGAUCCAAGAGAUAGAGCAAGCAAUGAGAAAGUCACAAUGCCUUUUAUAACCUUAACACUGAACAACGUUUGCAUCCCUUGCCAACAUUUAUAGGUUGAAAUCCUAACUCCCAGUGUUAUGGUAUAAGGAGAUGGGGCCUUCGGGUGAAAAUUAGAUCUCAGGAGCAUCGCCUCCAAGUAUGAGACUACUGCUCUUAUUAAAGGAGACCCCAGACUUUUUAAUCAUCGCCAUUCUAACUGCCAUGAGAUGGUAUCUCAUUGUGGUUUUGAUUUGCAUUUCUCUAAUGACUAGUGAUGAUGAGCUUUUUUUUCAUGUUUGUUGGCGACAUACAUGUCUUCUUUUGAGAAGUGUCUGUUCAUAUCUUUCACCCACUUUUUGAUGGGGUUGUUUUUUUCUUGUAAAUUUAUUUAAAUUCCUUGUAGAUUCUGGAUAUUAGACCUUUGUCAGAUAGGUAGAUUGCAAAAUUUUUCUCCCAUUCUGUUGGCUGCCUAUUUACACUGAUGAUAGUUUCUUUUGUUGUGCAGACACUCUGUAGUUUAGUUAGAUCCCAGAUGCUGGUGAGGCUGUGGAGAAGCAGGAACACUUUUACACUGUUGGUGGGAGUGUGAAUUAGUUCGACCACUGUGGAAGACAAUGUGGCAAUUCCUCAAGGAUCUAGAACCAGAAAUACCAUUUGACCCAGCCAUCCCAUUACUGGGUAUAUAUCCAAAGAAUUAUAAAUCAUUCCACUAUAAAGACACAUGUACAUAUAUGUUUAUUGCAGCACUAUUCACAAACGCAAAGACUUGGAACCAAUCCAAAUGCCCAUCAAUGUUAGACUGGAUAAAGAAAAUGUGGCACACAUACCCAUGGAAUACUAUGUAGCCAUAAAAAAGAAUGAGUUCAUGUCCUUUGCAGGAACGUGGAUGAAGCUGGAAACCAUCAUUCUCAGCAAACUAACACAAGAAGAGAAAACCAAACACUGCGGGUUCUCACUCAUAAGUGGGAGUUGAACAAUGAGAACACAUGGACACAGGGAGGGGAACGUCACACUCUGGGGCCUGUCGGGGUAGUGGGGGUAGGCGAGGGAAAGCAUUAGGACAAAUGCCUAAUGCACGUGGGGCUUAAAACCUAGAUAAUGGGCUGACAGGUGCAGCAAAUCACCAUGGCAUAUGUAUACCUAGGUAACAAACCUGCACAUUCUGCACAAGUAUCCCAGAACUUAAAGUAAAAAAUUUAAAAUAAAUAAAUAAAUAAAAAAGGAGAUCCCAAAGAACUCUCUGGCUCUUUCUGCCAUGUGAGGAUACAAGGAACAGCGGGCAGUCUGCAAUGUGGAAGAGGGGCUGCACCAGAAGUGGAGCAUGCUGGCACCCUGAUCUUGAAUUUUCAGCCUCCAGACUGUGAGAAAUAAAUUUCUGUUGCUUCUAAGCUACCCAGGCUAUGGGAUUCUGUUAUAGCAACCUGAACUGAAUACAACACUGUGCACUAUCACUUCUUUCUUAUUUGUUAAAAGCAGGAACCUAAGUCCUGCCUGCACUUGAGUAGAAUUAGGCUCUUCCUUUUGAAGAAAAGAAUGUCAAAUAAUUUGUGGAAAUAUUUUAAACAUAACAUAAACAUACCACGAUUCCAUUCUUGUGUAUUUAUUCAAAAGAAAGCAAGCACACGUUCACAAAAAAAGGAUAUAUGUGAGAAUGAGCAUAGAAGUUUUGUUUUAAAACAGUAAAGAGCUUAGGCAUCCAUCAACAGAGAAUGGGUAAACACACUGGUAUAUUCAUACAAUAUCACGCAGAAGCAAAAAGAAACUACUGAUUGUGCAAAUAUACAAGAAUGCUAAAAAUGAUUCUCAAUAAAACAAGCCUAACACAUUUUAUUUCCUAUGUCUGAACCCAUAUAUAUGAAGUUCUAAAACAGCUAAUUUGUACUAUAUAAACAAAAUCAGAAAAGUGGUUGCCUCUAGACUUGAGAGAUGAGAACAUACUGUGAAGUACCAUGGGGGAAUUUUCUGUGGGCAUUACGGACACUCUGUAACUUGACAGGAAUAUGUUACACUAACACUAGUAUCUACAUUUAUUAAAACCCAUAGAAUAGUAUGCUUAAUAUUUAUGCUUGUCACUGUAUAUAAAUUGUACCCAAAAUGUAAAUAUUAAACACUUGAUAAGCAUUCUCACAAGUUACAUGUGAAAUAUGCUGCUAUCUGAAACUUACUAUGACAUAUAGAAAAAUAAGACAAACUAAUGGAUGCAUAGAGAGAUGGGGGUUGGAUGGAUAUAUAUGUAAUAAAGCAGGUCUAGCAAAAUAUUAAUAAUGGAACCUAUGUAGUACCUAUAUGGGUGCUCAUUGUCCAGUUGCUUCCUCUUUUCCAUAUGUUUAAACAUGAUUACCAUAAAAUGUUGGGGAAAUGUACUUGAAUAAUUUGGUUUGACCUCUUGUGAUUCUGCCACCGCUAUGAGGAGAGCAUGUCCAGGUUCACCUGCUGGUCUAAGGAAGAAGAGGGACAUCUGGAGCAGAUCUGAUCCCAAACAGUAGUGUGGAGGCCAGCCUGGCCAAUCCUUGAUAGAGUGGCCAAUCCCCAUAUGCACUGCAGAUGGGGAACUGGGAAUAAAAGAUUAUUGUUUUAGUCUUUGAAUUUAAGGAUGAUUUGUUACAUAGCAUUAUCAUGGCAAGAACUGAAUCACUAAGGUAAUUAUUUUCCCACAUUAUCACUCUGUAGAGAUAUAUAAAAGAAAUGCUUAUAUUUAAAAAAUGCUUCGCUAUGUCUCAUGCAGAACAAAUUAAAAUUAUAAUCCAUGCCUUAUAGAGAGCCUUAACUAUUGAAAACAUAUAAGAAGUGCAUGGGCAAAUAAGUAGCCGGUAUGAAGAUAAUGACAUAACAUUAAAUAUAUUCCUAGGUGAUAGGAUGGUCAAGGCACUUGCUUUACAAUUGGACAAACAGAGGAAGUCAGC
rnacentral:lncRNA from 10 species